GCCGAGGUAUUCUAGUCCGGUACCUUCUAUCCGUAAAUGGACGAAGUCGGAAGGAAGCAUGCCUGGAAAGCAUGUGCUCUCUGAGCUCGAGAGUUCAAAUCUCUCCCUCGGCG
rnacentral:tRNA from 1 species